rnacentral:rRNA from 1 species
AGAGGGCAAGUCUGGUGCCAGCAGCCGCGGUAAUUCCAGCUCUAAUAGCGUAUACUUAAAGUUGUUGCAGUUAAAAAGCUCGUAGUUUGAAUUUCGGGCUCGGCAAGCUGGUCCAUCAAACGAUGGUACUGGUCAUGUCGGGUCUUACCUUCUGGGGAACCAAGGUGCUCUUUACUGAAUGCUUUGGGGAACCAGGACCUUUACUGUGAAAAAAUUAGAGUGUUUAAAGCAGGCUUAAGCUUCAAUACAUUAGCAUGGAAUAAUAGAAUAGGACUUUGGUUCUAUUUUGUUGGUUUCUAGGACCAGAGUAAUGAUUAAUAGGGAUAGUUGGGGGCAUUAGUAUUGAGCAGUCAGAGGUGAAAUUCUUGGAUUUGCUCAAGACUAACAACUGCGAAAGCAUUUGCCAAGGAUGUUUUCAUUAAUCAAGAACGAAAGUUAGGGGAUCGAAGACGAUUAGAUACCGUCGUAGUCUUAACCAUAAACGAUGCCGACUAGGGAUCGGUGGGAUUCAUUAUGAACUCAUCGGCACCUUAUGAGAAAUCAAAGUGUUUGGGUUCCGGGGGGAGUAUGGUCGCAAGGCUGAAACUUAAAGGAAUUGACGGAAGGGCACCACCAGGAGUGGAGCCUGCGGCUUAAUUUGACUCAACACGGGGAAACUCACCAGGUCCAGACAUAGUAAGGAUUGACAGAUUGAGAGCUCUUUCUUGAUUCUAUGGGUGGUGGUGCAUGGCCGUUCUUAGUUGGUGGAGUGAUUUGUCCUGGUUAAUUCCGAUAACGAACGAAGACCUUAACCUGCUAACUAGUCACACUAACCUCUUUGUUGGUGGCGACCUUCUUAGAGGGACUGUUUGUGUUUAACAAACGGAAGUUUUGAGGCAAUAACAGGUCUGUGGAUCCCUUAGAUGUUCUGGGCUGCACGCGCGCUACACUGAUGAAACCAGCGAGUAUAUCACCUUGGCCGAAAGGUCUGGGAAAUCUUGUGAAAUUUCAUCGUGCUGGGGAUAGACCAUUGCAAUCUAUUGCUCU